rfam:Gossypium hirsutum cultivar TM-1 unplaced genomic scaffold scaffold6413.1, whole genome shotgun sequence
GGGUGCGAUCAUACCAGCACUAAUGCACCGGAUCCCAUCAGAACUCCGCAGUUAAGCGUGCUUGGGCGAGAGUUGUACUAGGAUGGGUGACCUCCUGGGAAGUCCUCGUGUUGCACCCC